rnacentral:lncRNA from 15 species
CGACCUCAGAGCGCCAUCUCUCUCCUCUUGCUCCACUGGGGCUCAUUUUAAAUCACAUCAGUCAUCGUUGGAUUUGUUCAUUCCUGAGCGCAAAAACAACCCAGUUAGUGAGGUCUGAGACAUUAGCCUGUGGUAGAAAACACAAGAACUCACCUCAGCCUGUAGAAUCUGAAGAACAUCUCGCCGCAUGAAGUCGACAGAAAGGACGAACAAGUGGCUCCCAGUGUGUCCCUGCUCUCCCACCAGCCGCACAUUUCAGCUCCGGCACCACUGACAGCAUCAGAGGAGGCGACGUGACUCCGGCAGGUUCCCAGGACCAUCCGAGACAGGGUGUUUCGUGUGUGCUUAUCAUCACCACUGCAUGUGACAGCCGGACGGCGGGUCUACGGUCACAUAGCUUCUUGGCUCCUUCAUCCAACAUUUACGCGCUUUUAAGGUCGGGAGGAGAAUGUUGACACAUGUUCUGGCACGUUUCUUUCAUUUUAUGACAUUAUAGCCUGCUGUACUCUGCCACUUGUUUUUGUUAAUUCACAUUUGGAGAUAAACCAAAGAUUUGACGCACAGAUGUUCUUCUUUAUUCGUGCGUAAAAGCCGCGCCGCCCGUGACGCGUUGUGCGUUUCGUCAAUGAGAGCUGGGUAAGUUUUCAGAAGCACUGAUGAGCUCUUGUCGGACGGAGACUUUGGCAUCUGAAGGAACCUGUUGGAUUAUAAAAAAUACAAUCUGUUACUUUUAAAGACCACAAGUCUUGAGAGUCCGCUGUCUCUGAUUCUGGUGCGUCUUCAGCUGGAUUUUUGCGCCUUUGUGAUCCUGCAGAUUCAAACCUUCCUGUGGGGAUUACAUGGUAGAAACAAUGUUUUUGUGCAACACGAGUGCCAUAAAGGACUGGAGCUAUUUUCUGUCGCAGAUACUGCCCCUGAUGAAUAAAACUACAGGCUUGGUAAACAUGGACAAAGCGGAAGAUGUGACGACCACCAUGGUGACGGCUCUGCAGCCGGACAGCGCCAUGAGCGCGAGUAAGCCGCCUCUCAACUCCAACCAUACCUCGGGCAUGGAGCACGUCUUUCAGUACUCUUAUUCGGAGAGUGACCUGCUGUACACGGACUACCGGACCCCUGCGCGAGACUCCAUCCCGCUGCCCAAAGCGGUUCUCUACCUGGUCAUGGCAGCGCUGGUGGUGGUGGCGGUGGCGUAUGCGAUAGUAGGACACCUGGUCAAAGAUGUGGUUAAUGACUUUGUCGGUGGAGGCAGGUCGAUGGUUGCUGAAGGUGACGGAGGUGAAACCAGUGAACCAGGGUGGGUGUUAGGCUCUCGUCGCAACAAGACGGAGAUAAACUGCAUCACCAACAACAUGAACGAGAUGAGCGAGCUGGGCGAGAGGCCCCGGCUGGUGGAAAUGAGCUACAUAUCCAUGAACCACACUAACUGCCUGAGCUCCAGCAGGCCGGAGGAGAUAGUGGUCACCAUAGAUGAGACGCUGCAGCAGCAGCGACCUCCGGACACUCACUCUGGGACUUAACUGCGACCUCCUGACCUUCCCUGAGAGAAAUAAAGCAGCGUAUUUGCUUGCAUUUCUUGUUCAAGUGGAUUUAAAAGUCUUUCAUGAAUCAAAGCUCUAUCCACUGUUUUAUCACCUGCAGGUGGGCCUGUGCAAUGUUGGGCCAGAAGGGACUUUGAACUGUCGACCCGGGCUGGAACAUUGGAGGCUUCAGAUGCUGAUGUUUGUAUCAGAUUGGACUCCUUUCUGCAGAGAUGGCUUGAGAGGACGGCUGCAGUUUUAUUUUUUUGGACAGGCAGCUGAGAAAAAGGUGUUUUUUUUGUUAUUGUACUUCCCCCUUUUUCAAGUGACCCCCUUGUGAAAAUACCGCUCUGUUAAUGUAGACACUUGCAGUUCACUGUAACCACAAACAGUAUGUAACCACUCUAAAUACAUGAUACACGCCGGGCAGUGCUUAUUGUAAUAUUGCUGCUAGCAAGGUUAAACACAAAACAAUUACGUCAACAUUUUUUAUUAAUUGUGUGACACUUAAAGUUUUUUGUAAUUAUUGUAAAGUUUAUAUCAAGCAGCUCAACUGACACAGGGAGGCUCCAAAUGUUAACACCUGCUUCUUUCUUCUGUAAUAAUGCUGUAAUUACUGGUUGCAAAAAAAGUUCACUACACAGUGAUAAAAAGUAUUUUGUAGUAGUCAUGUUAUUAGCUUGAUGUGAACAAGUGCUAAGUCACCUUUAAGAGCUCUGGUUGCACCUGAUUGCAAAAAAUAUUAAAUAUAAAAGUUUCAAAGCCAUUGCUGUUAUGUUAAAAAAAACAGAGUCAAACAGAGUGACUGUCACGCUUUAUGAUUUCUUGGUAUUCUUGGCAUCACCUUUGAAGCAAAAAGUGUUCAUGGCUUGUUCCUUUUUCUAAUGUUUAAUAUUUCGUGUGACAUGGCGUUUGUCAGAGCCUUUGUUUACCUGUAUUACCUCACUGUUAAGGGCUACGUACUGCUGCUGAUGAGUCUGGGACACCAUCUCAAAGCUUCAACCGACGGGGCUUAUUUUUCUGUGCAUGCUGGGAUGCAUGCAUUUUACUCUGCACACACACCUACUGUACACUGUGUUUUUGGGAAGAUAUCUACUGAAGUUACUGACGUUUUUGACUAUUUCAAUGUAUGAAUAAACAUUUUUUACACACUUGCACAUAUUUGGGGCAAACUAGAGUAAAGCGGGACUUGACUUCAGAUGGUAGGGUUCCGAUUUUAAGGGCAAUAUAAUAAAAAUGGUGUUGUAACUGUGCAGCAGUGAUCAUUUCCCAGACAUUAAAUGUAACGGUUCAAAAUCUGAACCUGCAAAAAAGCUAAUUUUUUUCCCACCGCCUUGAUGCCGUCAAUAACUGUAUUCUUUCAAGUCAUCUAAUAAAUAUUCAUGAACAAAUGUG